rnacentral:rRNA from 1 species
GCGACCUACCUUAAUCAGGGGGAUAGCCCGAAGAAAUUCGGAUUAACACCGCAUAAAAACACAGGAUAGCAUUAUCCAAUGUUCAAAUAUUUAUAGGAUUAAGAUGGGCAUGCGUGUCAUUAGCUAGUUGGCGGGGUAACGGCCCACCAAGGCGACGAUGACUAGGGGAUCUGAGAGGAUGACCC